rnacentral:rRNA from 1 species
CUACGUGCCAGCAGCCGCGGUAAUACGUAGGUCCCGAGCGUUGUCCGGAUUUAUUGGGCGUAAAGCGAGCGCAGGCGGUUUGAUAAGUCUGAAGUUAAAGGCUGUGGCUCAACCAUAGUUCGCUUUGGGAACUGUCAAACUUGAGUGCAGAAGGGGAGAGUGGAAUUCCAUGUGUAGCGGUGAAAUGCGUAGAUAUAUGGAGGAACACCGGUGGCGAAAGCGGCUCUCUGGUCUGUAACUGACGCUGAGGCUCGAAAGCGUGGGGAGCGAACAGGAUUAGAUACCCUGGUAGUCCACGCCGUAAACGUUGGGCACUAGGUGUGAGGCUCCUUUCCGGGGGUUUUGCGCCGUAGCUAACGCAUUAAGUGCCCCGCCUGGGGAGUACGGCCGCAAGGCUAAAACUCAAAGGAAUUGACGGGGGCCCGCACAAGCGGCGGAGCAUGCGGAUUAAUUCGAUGCAACGCGAAGAACCUUACCAAGGCUUGACAU